AUACUGAGAGCCACUUUGAGUAGAAUUUACUUUCCCCUCUUUGUGUUUUCUUGUGGUUUGAGAGGCCAUUUUUGGAGAUAAGGAGUUGUGCUGCUGCCAUUGUUCUCAGCACCCAGAAGUCACUGAAGAUUCCUGAGUGCUUCGUCCCAUAUGUCCCUGUCCCACAUCUCAGGGUCCAUCCUUCCCCAUCAGGGCCCAAUUCUGGCAGAGCAGGCCACUAAAGCUGAGAAUUCAACCUCCUCUGUAGCUCUGCUAAUGUAAUUGUGUCCUGGGCCCAUCCUCACUUCUUCCACCCUCUGGCUCUAGGAGAUAAGACUCUGCAGUGCUGCCAGGUAGUCCUCUGGCCCUCAGACUUGACCUUUCCCCUGUGAUUAAUCUCUCUAAACUUUUCAUUAUCUUUCUCCAAAGGAUUGAUGCCCCAGCAACAGCCAUCCAAUUCCAUAGUGCUUAUAAUUACAAUUUUUCAGCUCAAUUUCAAAUGCCUGAUGCCAAGGUAUUCCCUUCCUCUGGUUACACCCUCCCAGUUCACCACUGGUGAAGUCUGAACACUUGCACUACAAGGGGAGGCCAGGCCUACCUCUGCUCCACUUCCCACCAGUGCCGGGGUCCUCUUGGUCAGCCAGUCCAGUGAUCCAGUUCCAUAUUUGCAUUUAGAGUUUGCUUUCCAGACCACUUCCAAACGAACUCCCAUAGGUCGGUUACACUGGGAAGCAGACUCUGAAAUGGAGAUGAGAAUGCGGCAGCUUACUGUGGCGUGCUGCCCGGAUCAACAUGCCUGUGUGAAGGAACGGGACUGGGAAAGGGAGCUGUUGACCAGAAAGCAGGCACAACAAAGACUCGACCCCUCUCACAGAGCUGUACAGCCAGGGGGUCUUUCUGAACUGUUCUCAAUGGAGGGGAGCGGGCUGAGCCUGUUGACUCCAGUUCAGCCAGCCCUUGGAUGCAAGCUGCCCUCCAAAAGGAGGUGAAAACUUGGGCAACACCGCUGCCUUCAUCUGAGAGAAAGUCUCAAAGAGGUGCUCAGUGAGAACUGUCAUCCUGCAACACCCCCAGGAACACAAAAGGGCCAAGAGAUGUCUUCUCCACUUCUGGCUGUCCUCUUCCUAGGCCCAAAGGUGCUGCUGGCCAUCGGCGUGUUUGCCAUCUAUGUCCACAGGAAGUGGAGGGCCUGACUAGCGAGCAUCUUUUCUGCGCCUUGGUGAAUCAUCACACUCCUUUCUAAGUUUGCAUCAGCUUCCAACAUUUUGUCCCUUGUGCUUUCAAUGUCCUGAAAUCUUUACAAAAGUUCCUUUAAUUUGAAGUAUUCGCUGGUGUCACUGCCUCUGGGACAUUUUCACCCUUUUCCUCACCAUCACUUUCCUCAUUUAUGUGGUAAGUGUGCCUUCACUGAGUUCCUUUGGCUGCACAUCUGGAAUCUUUCUAACAGCAUCAGUGUCAACAUCCCCACAGGCAGCCGCUUCUUCUAUAACUCCAUGUACAUUUUAUUUGAAUUUCACUUCCAGUAUUACAACUUUUCAUUCCUCCACUGCAUUUUCAUCUGUUUCCCAUUCUCUUUGGCAAUAAUUGAUUUAUGCAGAAUCUCAUUGGGUUCAUCACUGGGAGACAAGAAGACAACACAACUACAUGCUUUGCUGUCUGUACAUUAACUGAGUUACAGAAUCACAGUGACCAAUUACUACAGACUUUGAAAGAAGUCAUGUGAUGUGUCACUGACCAUGAUGAGCACCUGUUCGUUACAUAGUGAUUUGUGGACUGGAGAACAGCUAGCAGCGAAGUUUCUACUUGUGCAACUGCUCAUGGUAAAUUUACUGUGGUAACUGGAAUUUGAACCAUGUGAGGGGGACUGAUGCUAUUUAACUAAACUGUAGUAGCUGAAAUUCAUGCAUAUCAGCACCAUGCAAAGUGAGAUCUGCUUGUGUGCAUGUCUCUUCUUCAAAUAGGAUGUCAGUUCUAACAGAGAAGGGACUACUUGUAUCCUCAGUUGCCACAACGGUGACUGCCGCAUAGUGUUAUCAUCACAUUUUUGAAAAAAUAAAUGAAUGAAUACUUCAUUGAGAACAUUAAUUUCUACUAAAUGUUGGGUGUCAAAAUAAAAUGUUUCUUCAUUCAAUCACCUGACACUUGUCUUUUAAAGCCCUUUUGUUAAAGACUAAUCUCACCUCUUUGCAUUUGAAAAAUCCCAUCAAAAAUUCAACACAUCCAAAAAACAAAUAAGUGCCAAAAAAAAAAAAAAAGAACCCGCCACCAAAAAAAAAAAACCACCCAUUGAUUGGAGUAUGUCAAACGAGUGCACAAACCAAUUGAAAGAGCUCCCAAAGGCCAAAGCUGGAACAAUUUGAGCAAGAAAAUCAAUUAAGUAUUUGAUUAUUCUGUGGUAUGAAUGUUCUUUUCCCCAUGAAACUGACAUAUUAUAAUCCUAAUGCCCAACGUGAUGG
ensembl:lncRNA